GCAGACGACACAACGGUGGUAGGUCUGAUUACCAACAAUGACAAGACAGCCUACAGGGAGGAGGUGAGUUACCUGGCAGAUAGGUGCAGUACUUCAGGUUAUCAAUAUGGUGAGAGUGUAGUAUGUUCUGCUUGCAGUACUUCAGGUUAGCAAUAUGGUGAGAGUGUAGUAUAUUCUGCUUGCAGUACUUCAGGUUAGCAAUAUGGUGACAGUGUAGUAUAUUCUGCUUGCAGUACUUCAGGUUAGCAAUAUGGUGACAGUGUAGUAUAUUCUGCUUGCAGUACUUCAGGUUAGCAAUAUGGUGACAGUGUAGUAUAUUCUGCUUGCAGUACUUCAGGUUAGCAAUAUGGUGACAGUGUAGUAUAUUCUGCUUGCAGUACUUCAGGUUAGCAAUAUGGUGACAGUGUAGUAUAUUCUGCUUGCAGUACUUCAGGUUAGCAAUAUGGUGACAGUGUAGUAUAUUCUUGGGGUGGCAGCGUAGCCUAGUGGUUAUAGCGUUGGACUAGUAACUGGAA